GAAAUGCGAUAACUAAUGUGAAUUGCAGAAUUCAGUAAAUCUUCCAAUCUUUGAACGCACAUUGCGCCCCUUGGUAUUCCGAGGGGCAUGCCUGUUCGAGCGUCAUUAUAACCCCUCAAGCUGGGCUUGGUGUUGGGGUCUGCCUGUGGACGCUUGCCAUUAACCCCCGAUUUUCUAUGGUUGACCUCGGAUCAGGUAGGGAUGCCCGCUGAACUUAG
rnacentral:misc_RNA from 1 species